UACGAGGGGUGCAAGCGUUAAUCGGAAUUACUGGGCGUAAAGCGCGCGUAGGCGGCCUGGUCAGUCGGAUGUGAAAUCCCUGGGCUCAACCUGGGAACUGCAUACGAUACUGCCAGGCUAGAGUGUGGGAGAGGGUGGUGGAAUUCCCGGUGUAGCGGUGAAAUGCGUAGAUAUCGGGAGGAACAUCAGUGGCGAAGGCGACCACCUGGCCCAACACUGACGCUGAGGUGCGAAAGCGUGGGUAGCAAACAGG
rnacentral:rRNA from 1 species